CUUGCAUAAUGGUCAUAGUUGUAAAUAUAUUGCUUUGCCUUGUACUUCUGAAACUGCACUCCCGUCACCCGAUGGACAUUUUAGCACUGAGAUUUCUAGUUAACAAAAUGUGUGUGAGCAGAAACAUGGGUUCUGCCGGUCAACUCAGCCUCUGGCAGCCAUCGCUACUGUGUAAAUUUAAUGUGAGAUUCACUGUACUAUUUUGUUGUUGACCCUGUAGGCAGUCUUAGUGCCCAUUGAGAAGUGCAGAGAAAUGCCGAAGAAAGCGGAAUUUUCUCACGAAAACAUUUGCAGGCGGCAAAAGUGUAAAUUCAUUGCGAAUUCAUGCCUGGAUCACUACUGCCCUACACUGGCAAUUAAACUGUUUGACUCCAUGCCAUCAGGCAUCUGUGUUUAAAAGCAGGAGACCUGAUAAAAGCAAUUCUCCCAGACGGAGCCAUCACUGAAAAUGACAUUUGCUGUUAGCAGUUGGCUGCAGAAUGGAAAGUCGGAUCAACAUUACAGAGAAUCGGGGUUAUAUAUCAAGUGCUACGGCAACAGGAAGGCUACCUGACAUGCUGUGAUGUGGAAAAUCAC